AUUUUGAAGAUCAACUAGCUCACUGGACACAUCCCUUGUACAUUGUCCUGAAUUCCAAAUUUCGAAACCUUGGAUCUUGGAAGUCAAGAAUUGAAAGGUUUCAUUACUGAUGAAAUAAGUCAUCUGACAGACUUGGUAUGCUUGUAACUUAGCUAGAUGUUGUGCAAUGGUGGAAGAACCCUCCUGCUUAAGCGAAGUCACUGUCAUCGAAUAUUCAGUUUUGAGCUUCAUAGGUUGAGUCGGUACUACUCUGAUUGCUAAGAGGGCGUAUA